GCUCAGGACGCACGCUGGUGGCGUGCCUCAUACAGGCAAGUAGAACGCUGAGGAUUGGUGCUUGCACUAAUCCAAGGAGUUGCGAACGGGUGAGUAACGCGUAGGUAACCUACCUCAUAGCGGGGGAUAACUAUUGGAAACGAUAGCUAAUACCGCAUGACACUAGAGUACACAUGUACUCAAGUUAAAAGGAGCAAUUGCUUCACUAUGAGAUGGACCUGCGUUGUAUUAGCUAGUUGGUGAGGUAAAGGCUCACCAAGGCGACGAUACAUAGCCGACCUGAGAGGGUGAUCGGCCACACUGGGAUUGAGACACGGCCCAGACUCCUACGGGAGGCAGCAGUAGGGAAUCUUUGGCAAUGGACGGAAGUCUGACCGAGCAACGCCGCGUGAGUGAAGAAGGUUUUCGGAUCGUAAAGCUCUGUUGUUAGAGAAGAACGGUAAUGGGAGUGGAAAAUCCAUUACGUGACGGUAACUAACCAGAAAGGGACGGCUAACUACGUGCCAGCAGCCGCGGUAAUACGUAGGUCUCGAGCGUUGUCCGGAUUUAUUGGGCGUAAAGCGAGCGCAGGCGGUUCUAUAAGUCUGAAGUAAAAGGCAGUGGCUCAACCAUUGUAUGCUUUGGAAACUGUAGAACUUGAGUGCAGAAGGGGAGAGUGGAAUUCCAUGUGUAGCGGUGAAAUGCGUAGAUAUAUGGAGGAACACCGGUGGCGAAAGCGGCUCUCUGGUCUGUAACUGACGCUGAGGCUUGAAAGCGUGGGGAGCAAACAGGAUUAGAUACCCUGGUAGUCCACGCCGUAAACGAUGAGUGCUAGGUGUUAGGCCCUUUCCGGGGCUUAGUGCCGCAGCUAACGCAUAAGCACUCC
rnacentral:rRNA from 1 species